AGAGUUUGAUCAUGGCUCAGAUUGAACGCUGGCGGCAUGCCUUACACAUGCAAGUCGAACGGUAACAGGUCUUCGGAUGCUGACGAGUGGCGAACGGGUGAGUAAUACAUCGGAACGUGCCCAGUAAUGGGGGAUGGCUCGGCGAAAGCCGGAUUAAUACCGCAUACGCCCUGAGGGGGAAAGUGGGGGACCGCAAGGCCUCACGUUAUUGGAGCGGCCGAUGGCUGAUUAGCUAGUUGGUAGGGUAAAGGCCUACCAAGGCGACGAUCAGUAGCUGGUCUGAGAGGACGAUCAGCCACACUGGGACUGAGACACGGCCCAGACUCCUACGGGAGGCAGCAGUGGGGAAUUUUGGACAAUGGGGGAAACCCUGAUCCAGCAAUGCCGCGUGUGCGAAGAAGGCCUUCGGGUUGUAAAGCACUUUUGUCAGGGAAGAAAUCCUCUGGGCUAAUACCCUAGGGGGAUGACGGUACCUGAAGAAUAAGCACCGGCUAACUACGUGCCAGCAGCCGCGGUAAUACGUAGGGUGCAAGCGUUAAUCGGAAUUACUGGGCGUAAAGCGUGCGCAGGCGGUUGUGUAAGACAGGUGUGAAAUCCCCGGGCUUAACCUGGGAAUUGCAUUUGCGACUGCACGACUAGAGUGUGUCAGAGGGGGGUGGAAUUCCACGUGUAGCAGUGAAAUGCGUAGAUAUGUGGAGGAACACCAAUGGCGAAGGCAGCCCCCUGGGAUAACACUGACGCUCAUGCACGAAAGCGUGGGGAGCAAACAGGAUUAGAUACCCUGGUAGUCC
rnacentral:rRNA from 1 species